rnacentral:rRNA from 1 species
UGACGGGGGCCCGCACAAGCGGAGGAACAUGUGGUUUAAUUCGAUGAUACGCGAGGAACCUUACCCGGGCUUGAAUUGUAGGAGCACGAUACAGAGAUGUUGAGGUCCUUCGGGACUCCUAUGAAGGUGCUGCAUGGUUGUCGUCAGCUCGUGCCGUGAGGUGUCGGCUUAAGUGCCAUAACGAGCGCAACCCCUUUUCUUAGUUGCCAUCAGGUAAUGCUGGGCACUCUGAGGAUACUGCCACCGUAAGGUGUGAGGAAGGUGGGGAUGACGUCAAAUCAGCACGGCCCUUACGUCCGGGGCUACACACGUGUUACAAUGGCCGGUACAGAAUGUUGGUUUCAUGUAAAUGUAAUCUAAUCUUUAAAGCCGGUCCCAGUUCGGACUGAGGUCUGCAACCCGACCUCACGAAGCUGGAUUCGCUAGUAAUCGCGCAUCAGCCAUGGCGCGGUGAAUACGUUCCCGGGCCUUGUACACACCGCCCGUCAAGCCAUGAAAGCCGGGGG